rnacentral:rRNA from 1 species
GGAGCAUGUGGUUUAAUUCGAUGCAACGCGAAGAACCUUACCAUCCCUUGACAUCAUCAGGAUUUGUUAGAGAUAACUUAGUGCCUUCGGGAACUGGUUGACAGGUGCUGCAUGGCUGUCGUCAGCUCGUGUCGUGAGAUGUUGGGUUAAGUCCCGCAACGAGCGCAACCCUUAUCUUUAGUUACCAGCACGUUAAGGUGGGGACUCUAAAGAGACUGCCGGUGACAAGCCGGAGGAAGGUGGGGACGACGUCAAGUCAUCAUGGCCCUUACGGGAUGGGCUACACACGUGCUACAAUGGGCAGUACAGAUGGUCGCGAAGCCGCGAGGUGGAGCUAAUCUAAGAAAGCUGUUCGUAGUCCGGAUUGGAGUCUGCAACUCGACUCCAUGAAGUUGGAAUCGCUAGUAAUCGCAGAUCAGAAUGCUGCGGUGAAUACGUUCCCGGGCCUUGUACACACCGCCCGUCACACCAUGGGAGUGGGUUGCAAAAGAAGUGGGUAGACUAACCUUCGGGGGGUCGCUCACCACUUUGUGAUUCAUGACUGGGGUGAAGUCGUAACAAGGUA